rnacentral:rRNA from 1 species
UUGAACGCUGGCGGCAGGCCUAACACAUGCAAGUCGAGCGGAUGAAGGGAGCUUGCUCCUGGAUUCAGCGGCGGACGGGUGAGUAAUGCCUAGGAAUCUGCCUGGUAGUGGGGGAUAACGUCCGGAAACGGGCGCUAAUACCGCAUACGUCCUGAGGGAGAAAGUGGGGGAUCUUCGGACCUCACGCUAUCAGAUGAGCCUAGGUCGGAUUAGCUAGUUGGUGGGGUAAAGGCCUACCAAGGCGACGAUCCGUAACUGGUCUGAGAGGAUGAUCAGUCACACUGGAACUGAGACACGGCCCAGACUCCUACGGGAGGCAGCAGUGGGGAAUAUUGGACAAUGGGCGAAAGCCUGAUCCAGCCAUGCCGCGUGUGUGAAGAAGGUCUUCGGAUUGUAAAGCACUUUAAGUUGGGAGGAAGGGCAGUAAGUUAAUACCUUGCUGUUUUGACGUUCCCAACAGAAUAAGCACCGGCUAACUUCGUG